rnacentral:rRNA from 1 species
CCCUUAGAUGUUCUGGGCCGCACGCGUGCUACACUGAGUGGAUCAGCGGGUCAGGUUACGUGAGAGCGUUUCCUAAUCUUCAAAUCCGCUCGUGAUGGGGAUUGACGGUUGCAAUUUUCCGUCAUGAACGAGGAAUACCUUGUAAGCGCGGGUCAUCAUCCCGCGCUGAAUACGUCCCUGCCCUUUGUACACACCGCCCGUCGCUCCUACCGAUUGAGUGGUCCGGUGAGGCUUUGGGAUCUAAGCGAAAAGAGCGUUUCGCUCCUUUUGCUGGGAGAACUCAGUCGAACCUUAUCAUUUAGAGGAAGGAGAAGUCGUAACA